CAUGUAGUUGGAAACGAAGAAUAGUUCUCUCAAUCUGGGCACCUUGGGAACUAGGAGUUAGUGGUGCAACCCGCCAGCAAAUUA
rnacentral:ncRNA from 24 species